AGCGAACGCUGGCGGCAGGCUUAACACAUGCAAGUCGAGCGGGCCCUUCGGGGUCAGCGGCCGACGGGUGAGUAACACGUGGGAACGUACCCUUUGGUUCGGAAUAACGCUGGGAAACUAGCGCUAAUACCGGAUACGCCCUUUUGGGGAAAGGCUUGCUGCCGAAGGAUCUGCCCGCGUCUGCUUAGCUAGUUGGUGGGGUAAUGGCCUACCAAGGCGUCGAUCAGUAGCUGGUCUGUGAGGAUGAUCAGCCACACUGGGACUGGGACACGGCCCAGACUCCUACGGGAGGCAGCAGUGCGUAAUAUUGGACAAUGGGCUCAAGCCUGAUCCAGCCAGGCCGCGUGAGUGAUGAAGGCCUUAGGGUUGUAAAGCUCUUUUGUCCGGGACGAUAAUGACGUUACCGGAAGAAUAAGCCCCGGCUAACUUCGUG
rnacentral:rRNA from 1 species